rnacentral:lncRNA from 1 species
UCCGAGCGUGAGUGGGGCCCCGGCGUCCCCCCGGCACCCGCCUGCCCCGAGCACCCCGUGGUGCGCCCUCCUCCGGGGCCGGGGCCUCCCACCAGCACCGUCCCCAUCCCCAGCCCUAACCCUGUCUCCCUCCUUGUCCUCCUUCCCGUCCUUGUCCUCAUCACAAAUCCCAUCCUUGUCCCCAUCCUCAUCCCCGUCCCUGUCCCUGUCCCCAUCCUUGUCAUUGUCCCCAUCCCCAUCCUUAUCCUCAUUCCCAUCCCCAUCCCCAUCACCAUCCUCAUCCCCAUCCUUAUCCCCAUCCCCAUCCCCAUCCCUAUCCUCGUCCCUGUCCCUGUCCCCAUCCUUGCCAUCAUCCCCAUCCCCAUCCUUGUCAUCAUUCCCAUUCCCAUCCCCAUCACCAUCCUUGUCCCCAUCCCCAUCCUUGUCCCUGUCCCCAUCCUUGUCAUCGUCCCCAUCCCCAUCCCCAUCCCCGUCCCUGUCCCUGCCCCCAUCCUUGUCAUCGUCCCCAUCCCCAUCCCCAUCCCCGUCCCUGUCCCUGCCCCCAUCCUUGUCAUCGUCCCCAUCCCCAUCCCCAUCCCCGUCCCUGUCCCUGCCCCCAUCCUUGUCAUCGUCCCCAUCCCCAUCCCCAUCCCCGUCCCUGUCCCUGCCCCCAUCCUUGUCAUCGUCCCCAUCCCCAUCCUUAUCCCCGUCCCUGUCCCUGCCCCCAUCCUUGUGCCAUCAUCCCCAUCCCCAUCCCUGUCAUCAUCCCUAUUCCCAUCCCCAUCCUUGUCCCCAUCCCCAUCCUUGUCCCUGUCCCCAUCCUUGUCAUCAUCCCCAUCCCCAUCCCUGUCCCCAUCCUUGCCAUCAUCCCCAUCCCCAUCCCUGUCAUCAUCCCUAUUCCCAUCCCCAUCCUUGUCCCCAUCCCCAUCCUUGUCCCUGUCCCCAUCCUUGUCAUCAACCCUAUCCCCAUCCUUGUCCCCAUACCCAUCUCCGUCCCAUCCUUGUCAUCGUCCCCAUCCCCAUCCUUGUCAUCAUCCCCAUCCUUGUCCCCGAUCCCAUCCCCAUCUCUGUCCCUAUCCCCACCCCAUCCUCAUCUCCAUCCUCGUCAUCAUCCCCAUCCUUGUCUUUGAUCCCAUCCCCAUCCCCGUCCUUGUCACCUUCUCUAUCCCCAUCCCUGCGCUAAUCCCCAUCCUUGUCACCAGCCCCAGCCCUGGCCCCAUCCUCAUCGCCAUUCCUAGCCCCAUCCCUGAUCCCAUCCCCAUGCCUGCCCUCGUCCCCCUCCCCGUCCCCGUCCCUGUCCUGCCUCGGGCUGGGCACAGGAGUCGGGGGGCGUGGGGCGCCCAGCGGCCCCUCUCGCCCCAGGGUGCACUGGCUGCAGGGCCUCUCUGACACCCACCUCUCCAAGCUGCUCGACGCCAUGGAGGAGGUGAGUGUGCACUCACGCGUGAGUGUGCGCUGCAUGUAAGUGCACCCGUGCAUGAGCGUGCACCCGUUUGUCAGCGUGCACCUGCNNNNNNNNNNN